GGGAGAUACAAAGAAAAAAUACAGAAGAGGAAAGAAGUGGAUGAUGGAUUAUAAAGGAGAGGGAAUUCAUUUACAGAAAAGAGUUUGACUUGUGAUACUGAUUGACCUGCCUCUUUGAGGUACAUUCCAUAGUGGUGGAAAUUUUCACCUACCAAAAUAACAAGGCCAAUUUAAGACAUCCAAAGAGGUUGUCAAGACUACAGCUACAGUUUACCAAGAAUCUGCUUUUGCUCCAUGGGGAGGGCUUAAACUUGGAGAUCAAAGUGUCAUGAUGAACACUUAGCUGGCAUGGAUUUCUGACAUGAAAAAUCAUCAAGUGCUAUCCUUUGCUGGACUGUGGCUCACCAUUCCUCUCAUUAGGCACAUGGCCAGGCUCCAUGGGGUAUGUGGAAGCUGCAAAGACUAACAUCUGGAUGUUUGUACAGGGGCUAAGCUGCUCAGGGGAAGAUCAGAUCAACAUGCAAGGGCAAAUAACAGGAAAAACUCACUGCAAAGAGGAGUGGCAGCUGUCAGAAAGUAGGGGUUACUGCUUGGGGCAAGCCUAUUUCUUAGAAGAAGAGUACGCUUUCCUGCAGUGAAAUAAUUAUUGUUUCUGAGAGACAGGAACCACUACAGAAUCACUUUUCAAUCUGCAAAAUCCAAGCAGUGACCACUUCAAAGCAAGAUAAAAGGAGACGUUGAUCUGCUUUAGCCUCUGACUGUUCCUAGAGUUUUCUACUUCUUGAAGACUUUCCUGGCAAAGGAAGUAUUGCUACAAGUGGAAGGAAGAAGCCUGCUGUGCUCUUCUCUGAAGAUAUGUCUUCUCCUUAAGCCUUCUAUCAGCAUGUGUCACAGUGGCAUUUUGCAAAUUUGCUGUGCAUUCCUACACACCAAAUGUUUAUUACUCAUUUUAAGAUGUUUCAUCAGAACAUGGGAAAAUAUGCUAAGGUAUCUGGCCCAGCUGUAUAUAGAAGGUGAUUCAGUCCAGUGUAACCAGUUUUAAAAAAAAUGUCCCUGCUUGUCCACCUUGGUGUGGUCUUGGAAAGCCUACGCCAGAGAUGAAAGCUGCUGACAUGCUUUUGAAGCAGGUUUCAGGGCAUACAUAUGCCAUUCCUGUGUGAAGUUCAGGCUCUUCAGGUAUGUAGAAAUCAGGAUACUCUUGCAGAGGUCAAAUGAACAGAGAAGUAGAGACCAGAGAGGACCAAGGAACAAAAGGGCUGCACUGCAGCUGAAAAUUCAUCCUACUCUCUUUGGAAUUGAGCAAAUCUCUUCCAAAGUGUAUAGUGCAAAUUUCCUGUUUAUCACAGAGGAAAAGAUAUGGACUUGAGCAUGAAUCUGUGGUCCUUAACCAGACUGCACCAGCUAGGAAGACUUGGUGAUUUGUUUGCUGUUGGAGAAAGACUCUUCAAUAUUUCUCCUUGAAAUCAGGUACCUUCUCACCAAGAACUUAGCAGAAGUAAUACUAUGAGUGGGUAGACAAAAGUGAUGUAGGGAAAAACAGAACUCUAAUACCACAAAGUGUUAAUACAGCAAAAUGCUACGCUGCUUUUCAAAAAGAGCACAUGCUGUCUAAUGGGACUUAUGUGCUUGCCUAAGCUAUGCAAAUACCACAUAGAUGUAUGUUGGGCCAGAACAAAAGCAGGACUUACAUGUUUGAUGAAAAGGCGGGUAGAAAGGAAAGAGGAAAGGUCAACAUUUAAAGGAAAAAAAGGAAAGGAAAACUUAUAUUGUGAGACAGGAGCUUGUAUUGUGGAGACAGGGAGAUGAGAAUAUGGGAUACAAGACAGGAUAAAGGUGUCUUACCUGUUGUGUGACCCAGUGCAGUGCCAGAUACAUAGCACUAGUAAAACUGGGUCGUUUCUUCUUCUCUUUCACUUUUAUUUCUGUUUGCUUUCUCUUCUGUGUCAUCCUUGAGCAUCUUGCAGUUCUUCUACAGUUUUAGCGUAGCCUGCUGACCAGAACUAUACCGUUAAAGUCAGCCCUGUGACAAGCUAUCAGGGUGAUCUCUGGUUCUUCUCUGUCCUUAGGUCCUGUAGCUGUCACUGUACUGGACAUGACGAAUGAGAGUCUCAGCCACAACCUUUGCUGGAGUUACAAGGAUGGGACUUAGAACUCCCUGAUCCUGUUUCGGGCUUUGCUGCCUUGCAGUUGUCAAAGUUGAGCAAUGUCCCUAGAGUUUCUGGUCACAAGCAGGCAAAAGCAUUCCUUGGUGCAGUACUGCUGCUGCCUGUGUCAAUGUUGUUGCAAAGGCAGAUUAAUUGGAGGUCUGUGGGAACCAUCUGCAAUCCAGAUAAUUCCACUUUAGCUGGAGCUUUUUGUUUUCUCAUUUUGGAAGGGUGCUUCAAAAAAACCCCCAAAAACAUCAUACUCUUAAAAUCAUUGCAGAGUUCAAAUAGGAAUCAAAACUGGUUUGAAUUAAACUUCUUGUGUAACCUCAGAUGUUAUUCUGUUGUACGUUGUCUUGCUUGCUGAAAUGUUUCUCUUUAAUUUUUUUCCCCUCAGCCAUAGGCACAUUAUCACUACAAGAGAUAAUGAGACUGAGUUCCCGUGGCUACCACACCAUGAAUCUGAACUGUCUCUUUACA
ensembl:lncRNA